GCAGCCUGCAACUCGGCUGCAUGAAGCUGGAAUCGCUAGUAAUCGCAGAUCAGAAUGCUGCGGUGAAUACGUUCCCGGGUCUUGUACACACCGCCCGUCACACCAUGGGAGUUGGGAAUGCCCGAAGUCAGUGACCCAACCGCAAGGAGGGAGCUGCCGAAGGCAGGCUUGAUAACUGGGGUGAAGUCGUAACAAGGUAGC
rnacentral:rRNA from 1 species